UGGAAAUAAUCAUGUGUUCUAGGCCUAACGUUAAUUAUAAUUAAUGAACAUUAUUUUUAUCUUGAAUUCUUAAUAUAAAAUUUGCAUAGAUUAUUAGGUUUAUGUGCUAUUUUGAAUGUUCCCCAAGCUUAUGUUUUUGUAAAAAGUAUUUGUGCCUUAAUUGAAGAUUUCUAUAUGAAUCAUUGUUUACCUAUAUGUAGCAAACUAGCGACAGCAUAUUUUAUAUUUUUGUCCUCCAUUUUUUUUUUUUUAAAUGCUAUCACGGUUUAAUUUCUAUAUUAUCAAAUUAUUUUCUUUUUUUUUUUUUUUUGUCAGGCGGAGAAUGUUUUUGGGGAGUUUAUUUUCCGUGAGCUUAGUGCGGCUGCUGGUGCUGUCACAAUCACUUGUCUCAUGGUGGCUAACCUUGUUGGCUAUGUUAUUGGACCAUCAGGCCUUAAUUGGUUGAUUUCUCGAUUUCACCGGGAAGAAGGUUUACAGCUCUUAUAUACCACUUUUAUUCUCUUAGCCACAUGCCACUGUUGGUUAUGUUGGCGUGAGUUGUUAACAGAGGAUCUUGUGGAGAGAUUAUAGGGAUUUUAUGUAUUUAUUUGGUUUCCACUGAUUAUGUAUUUCCAAUAAUUCUAGCCUACAUUUGUGUACCUUCUAAGAAUAGAUUCUUCUGUACAUACUUUAUAAGCAUACUCUUGUAUUAUGGAAAUUAUGAAUUUGAAUAGAAUUUGAUAUCUUUUCAUCAUGGUAUCAGAGCGUGGUUUAAAAAAAAAAACAAAAAAAAAAAAAAAACCAUUUGAUUCAUUGUUUUUCUCAAAAAUCAAAACCCAUAUAUCUAUCACCUCUCUGUAAUCAACAGAACUUGCCAUCUCUUUGCAAAUCACAAAAUUUAGAAACCGGAUUUCCAGUUACCAGCCCACAAGAUUCCAUUCUACCGCUGCCAUACACCGAGGAUCCACCGCCAGAAAAGGAGCCACCAAGCCCGCUGUCCUCGUGAAAUAUUUGAAUACCCAGAUCCGCCGCCGCGAAAUCCAGAUUCGCCAACGACGAGUGAAACAAACGAUGCCCCAGGACUCGUCGUCGUCAUCACUCGUCACCGACGAGACCGAGUCGAUGUCGCUGUAGUCAUCGACGCCCACUACGUGAACCAUCCCCGGAUCUGUCACGCCGUCGCCCUUCCUCGCCGUGCCGAACAGCAACCAAAAACCCAAACCAGUCGCCGAUCUGAGGACGACCCGCCACCGCUGCACCAUCACCGGUCGCCUUCCACGACCGGAGCUCAUGGCCGAGCUCUACAGCCGGUUCGUCUUCUUUUUGCCGAGUCCUGCUAUCCACGGUAGAUUCUAGGACUGUGGAUUAAGAAAAAAAAAAAAAAAAAAAAAAUUGAGAUCAAUGACAGAACGUACUCCCUUAAUAGAGAGUUCCCAAGGCGAGAAUCCAAUUCUUGCGGACUUGACCUCCAGAAUAUCACAAAUGUUGAACCAGACACCAACCUCACUGAGUCACGAAUCUGUUGCUGCACCAAUUGGCAUCAAGUUGGAC